GGUAAACUAUGAAAACUGAGGAGUCUACGUCUGACUGAAUUAAGUAUCCCAAGUAGAAUGUUUGGGUAAUAUGAAUCUAACAUACACACAUGAAGAGCUGAUUUCUCCUGCGUAAUUAGGAAAAUAAAUAUGCCUACUUAUUCAGUUGGAAAUAAUCAUAUAGGUAAAGAAAAAAAGAUUAUAUCAAACAUUUCCAUAUUAGAAACCACAGUGUUGCAACUUACACUUUGCAUUUUCUCUACUUAUUCAUUCCAUUGCCAGUGUUUAGCCUGUCUAGAUAUCUGUUGUAGUUUUUAAAAAGAUAUUUAAAUGUGUAUUUGUGUUACAUAUAUUAUGUUACCUUUAUAUUUCAAUUCUAGUUUAAAAUUGAAACUUUUUUUUGGUGAUGAGUUGAGGAUGAUGAGUGGUUGGUGACCAGGUCAAUCUAUUUUUAUUCUUAUGUUUGAAUAUAAUUGUUAAGAUAUAGAUGUGCUAGAAAAAUAUCCCUUCUUAACCACAACUAAAAAGUGGUUGCUUGCUCCUUAACCCAUCUGAUAUAGGUUCAGUUUUUAACUAAAGAGGCAGAGGAUAUUUCACGGAAUUUGCAAAAGUGAAAAUAAGAUUUUUCAUGACUGUUUUAUUAUAUGCUUAAAAGCACAUAUCGAAUACAAUAUAUCCUAAUGUUUUUAGUCACAUGAAGUACCUUUCUGUGAGCUGAACAUGACACUCAGGAAUUGGUGGCUUAGUAUUAGACCAAUGCUGGUAAUAGGCUUGGUAUAAGAAUCCUUCAAAACACAUAAUUAGCUCGUAUUUAGCCAUAACAUGUGUUGAGACCUUGAAUGUUCUUUGAGAGUAACCUGUUUUUUCAUCUACACAUGAUUCAGAAAAACUGUGAUUGUAUAGUUUGCAGUUAUCUGAGGCUGGUGCCUCCUUCUGGGCUAAACUCCUUAUGACCUGUUUUCUCAUUUUAUUACUCUUUUUUUUUUUUUUGCAUAAAAAUUUAGAGAAAUGUUAUUAUUUUUAAAUGUUAACCUUUAGUUUUCUUUUAGUGAGAUGCAUUUGGUCUAUCAAAAAAGAGUAUGUGAGUCAUGUGAAAUGUUAAGUAGAGUUAUAGCAAUAGAUAAUUUUUCCUAAAUAUUUCACAUGUCACUACUUUUUUGUAGCACUUAUAAAGGUACAGUACAGUUUUAUUCAUAUUAGCACAAAUAGCCAUCUGCAUUGUAUUAAAUUUUGCCUUGUAAAAUAUAAUACUCAUUUAAUAUUUAUGCUUUUGUGCCUCUAAGGAAAUCUUUUUGCCAGUUGUAUUUACUGAGACAAAAAUCUGAAUUGAAAGUAUUUGUUAAUCAGUAGAUUUUUUUUUUUAAAAGGGUCACUGUCACUUUUCUUUUAUAAAUAUAUUUAAACAGUAACUCUGUAGUUUUAUAAGGGUUUGUCUAAUUAUUGUACUUAAAAUUAUAUCCUCCACUCUUCAGAUAUCACAGAAAUAGAUUUGCCAGAUUCUUUCUGAGUAUUGUAAACAGUGCCUUUUAAUGAAUUCACACUGUUUGGGGAUGUAUAAAGAACUUGUUAAUUUGUGCCAUAUAUAUAUUAAAAAAAACUUUUGUGGGAGGCAGUUAAGUUACUUAUAACUUUUUGAAACCUAUCUCACUCUUAGUCAAAUAUCUAAGGAAACAAUAUAUACAAUUCCAUUUUUUCCCCUAGUUUUUAGUUUUUCUACUGAGUGGUAAACAUCUGUGCUGUUUGUUUUCUGUACAGUAAUGGUAUAAUGCAUUGUGGCAUUAUUGAAGAGCCAUAAAUGACACCAUAGAUUACAAUGGAUUCAUUAUGUAAAAUAUGCAAAAAAUUAAACUUAAUAUUUAAACCUAAAUUGACAUUUUAAACUAUCUGAAAAACAACAACAUAGAAAUGAAUAAAUGUUUACAUUUCAACUUUUGCUUAACUGGGGAAAUGAUUCCUUAAAAUGCAUAGCCUGCCACUAAUAUGUACCUUUAUUUCAUUUUGUUCUAGUUAGAGAAUGUCAUAUUGGCAUUUUUUAAUUUUCUCUUUUGUUACUUUUAACAUAUUGCUUGUUUUUAUACUGUUACAUUUUAAAAAUGAAAAUUGACUGUUAAAAGUUGUAUAGGACCAGUGUCUCAUUAAUUAAUCUGAUUAACAUAUAUAUAUAUAUUUAUAUGAAUACAAGUAUAAACAUAUAUAUAGAAGAGCCACAAAGAAACCCAUGACAAAAUGAAUGUGAAUGUUCUUCCUAAAAUAUUUAGAAAAUUUAUUUCAUGUUUCUGCAUCUUUCAUGUAAAAUUAUUUUAGUGUCACAUUACUGAUAAAGUUAUUUAAAGAAAAAUGUAAUGUAACAAAGAUAAUGAGCCACAAAAAUUCAACUGGAGUUUUCACUGUAUGGCAUGCUAAGUGUAAACCCAUGUAAACAUCUGGUUAAUGGCCACUUGUAAAUUAAAGCACUACCACUGGUCAAGUUUUGUAUGAUUAAUAGAAUAAAG
rnacentral:lncRNA from 1 species